rnacentral:misc_RNA from 1 species
ACAGACACAUUACAAACAUGGUAAAGGAAGUCUUCGUCCUGCUGGCCACCGUAGCCGCUGCCCUCGGGGCUGACCCUACCCCCUGCUGUGUCCAUCACCAAUUCACGGCCGAUCUGUUAGAGGUCGGCGGAAAGAUCAACCCUAUUCUUGCAGUACCAGAGCCAAUCACAGUUAGUACAACACUAGAAAAUAAAUCUCUCUCUCUCUCUCUCUCUCUCUCUCUCUCUCUCUCUCUCUCUCUCUCUCCAAUUCAUUUCGGACCUUGGUGUCAAACUGUCAGAAGAUGAUUUUAGAUUCAGUCCCGGUUGUACUAUGAUUAUGACGCCAAGAAGCAGCGCGUGGACAGGGUGGUGGAGAACGACGACGGAACCACCAACAACGUGACCAUCUACGUGGACUACACAGAGGUGAGCAAAUCAACAAAUAGUCCGUUCUACAGUUCAGACAAAUGGAAAUUUUCUACCCUGAUUUUCUGGCCGUUUUUAAAAAUUAAGCUUCACUUUUUAGUUUGUUGAAGGCUUUUCAGGCUUUUAGAAAGAUAAUACUAGCAUUUCAUGUUUGCAAAGUUGGUUGCAUUGGUUGUUUGUGAUUUUCAGCAAGUCGCCCGCUCGAUUGUUGGCGGGAAGUGUGUGGUAACCAGUCUAAAACAGGCCACCAUGCAGGAACCAUGUGUUCCCGGUAAGUUUCGUGCUGUGGUGGUCAAACACAAGAACAAAAGAGAACAUUCAAGACUAAUCGCAAACAUACUUUUGUAUAAACUACAAAUUCACUGCAUAGCCAAUUGUAAUUUCAUGAAAAUCAAUAUCGUACAUGGUCAUAUACUACCGCAGCGCAUUUCUAACUGUUACAUCCUCGUGGCAGUCAAGCUACAAACACAAGUUACACGUUUAAGGGUUCUGAGUCUGAGGUUCUUUGCUUGCAGCGACGUCUAAGUUCGUGGGGACCCGUGUUCUGGGACCGGCCACUAAUGGCGUCAGCAUCAACUCGUUCACGGCUGACCUGACCAAGGUCCUCAACGUCACGAUGAAGGUGUCCGUCACCUCGGACGACUGUACCCCGGUGUCUGUGUCGUCAUACGGGGUCAUGGAGGGAGGUAACUCUUACCUAGUCGUCAUACAGUUUUAUACGGAGGCUGCAUUAAACGAUCAAUCUGUUUGAAAAUAUGGGAUUUUUUUCACUUUCAUGUUUUGUUUCAUUAACAAUUUUUUAUUUUUUUUUUUAAGUUUUUUUUUUAAUAUAUAUACAGUAUCUCGGUUCAUUCUGCUGCCUUUUCUAAACUAUGUACAUGUAUAUUCAUUGUCCUGAUGAUACAAUUUUUGACAUGCAUUUUGUUUUCUUUCAAAACUUGUUUUUCUCUAUUUCAGCUUUCCAGGAAAUCACCUAUUUCUUCACCAACCUUGUCUACAGCUUACCUCACCAAGUGUUCCACAUACCUGCCAUUUGUCAUGGUGUACACGUGAGAUCCGCUCAUUUCUAAGAAAUUUUACCAUAGCCUGCAAUUACUGAGGAAUCAUUCUUUGAGUAUUAUGACGAGAUAAAAUACGAUCAGGGGGAUCAAAUUAAAUAAACCCAGAAGGGAUUCAUGAUAGAUUGGAUCACGUUAGAUCGUAUUUGAUAACUUAUUUCAUAAUAUUCAAAGAAUGAUUCCUGAUUGCUUAUAACACUGUGCCGAAUACUUAUGCCAGUGCCAAGGUGGCAUUUUUGCACCCGCUUAACAUGCAGUUUCGGAAAAAAAUACAUAUAUACCAAAUGAUAGACCAUUGUUUAGAAGGUAUAGUAUCACUUUUUUUAGUGUGGUUUACCCAACAGGUGAGAUAUUUACCAUUAUUAAUAUCCCAUAAGAAAAAGAUAACUCCCAUAGGAAAAAUGAUUUUUCUACAAGAAAUAUUGACAAUCCUAUAGGUUUUUCUAAAAAUCCUAUAGGAACUAUGUUUCCUAUAGGAGAGUGGUAUUUCCUGCAGAAAUUUGAUUCAGACAGGUUGUUUUCCUAUAGAAAAUUAAGAUUUCCAAUCGGAUUUUAUCAAAUCCUAUCGGAAUUAAAAUUCCUAUAGGAAGUUCUUGUAUUCUUAUGGGAAUUUUUUUAAAUUUCCUAUCGGAAUAUUGUUUUUCCUAUGGGAAAAAUUAUUUUCCUGUUGCAAUUUAUUUUUGAAAAGGUGAGAUACAAUGAUAAAAAAGGUGGUUGUUAACUUUUAUAGCAAUGGUGUAUCAUAUGGCUAAUUUGAAUUUUUCGAUAUAUGCAGCUUAGACGGGUGCAGAAAUACCACCUUGGCAAUUGCAUAAUUAUCUGGCACAGUGUUAUAUAUUAGUAUACUUAUAAGUUUCAGCAUUAGUACAAUUUAAAAUAGUCAUUAACGAAUUGUUAUCAUAGAUAAAGACACUGGAAAAUGUAAAGCCUACUUCGUUUGUUCUAAAGACAUUGUUUACGAGUUACAGUCGUGCCACUUACGUGUUGCAUGUCAGUCAUAAAGUUGACGUACUCUUUUGAUAUUUGAUAAUCUUGAUAUUGAAUUUUUUAUUUUUUCUGUUUUAGGCCCCUCUUGUGGGACGAGACCUUCCUUUGUCACCAGCUCUCAAGCGAUAUCUAAACCUCCAAUAAACCGCUUUUUGAU